CCUACGGGAGGCAGCAGUAGGGAAUAUUGCUCAAUGGGGGAAACCCUGAAGUAGCAACGCCGCGUGGAGGAUGAAGGUCUUCGGAUUGUAAACUCCUUUUGUUAGAGAAGAUAAUGACGGUAUCUAACGAAUAAGCACCGGCCUAAUCCGUGCCAGGAGCCGCGGUAAUACGGAGGGUGCAAGCGUUACUCGGAAUCUCUGGGCGUAAAGGGCGCGUAGGCGGGAUAGCAAGUCAGAUGUGAAAUCCUAUGGCUUAACCAGAGAACUGCAUUUGAAACUGUUAUUCUAGAGUAUGGGAGAGGUAGGCGGAAUUCUUGGUGUAGGGGUAAAAUCCGUAGAGAUCAAGAGGAAUACUCAUUGCGAAGGCGACCUGCUAGAACAUAACUGACGCUGAGGCGCGAAAGUGUGGGGAGCAAACAGGAUUAGAUACCCCGGUAGUC
rnacentral:rRNA from 1 species